rnacentral:rRNA from 1 species
GACGAACGCUGGCGGCGUGCUUAACACAUGCAAGUCGAACGGAAAGGCCCUGCUUUUGUGGGGUGCUCGAGUGGCGAACGGGUGAGUAACACGUGAGUAACCUGCCCUUGACUUUGGGAUAACUUCAGGAAACUGGGGCUAAUACCGGAUAGGAGCUCCUGCUGCAUGGUGGGGGUUGGAAAGUUUCGGCGGUUGGGGAUGUACUCGCGGCUUAUCAGCUUGUUGGUUGGGUAGUGGCUUACCAAGGCUUUGACGGGUAGCCGGCCUGUGAGGGUGACCGGGAACAUUGGGACUGAGAUACGGACCAGACUCCUACGGGAGGCAGCAGUGGGGAAUAGUGCACAAUGGGCGGAAGCAUGAUGCAGAAACGCCGCGUGCGGGAUGACGGCCUUCGGGUUGUAAACCGCUUUCGCAUGUGACGAAGCGUGAGUGACGGUAAUGGGUAAAGAAGCACCGGCUAACUACGUG